CACACGACUCUCGGCAACGGAUAUCUCGGCUCUCGCAUCGAUGAAGAACGUAGCGAAAUGCGAUACCUGGUGUGAAUUGCAGAAUCCCGCGAACCAUCGAGUCUUUGAACGCAAGUUGCGCCCGAGGCCACCUGGCCAAGGGCACGCCUGCCUGGGCGUCACGC
rnacentral:rRNA from 1 species